GACAAACGCUGGCGGCGUGCCUAAUACAUGCAAGUAGAACGCACAGUUUAUACCGUAGCUUGCUACACCAUAGACUGUGAGUUGCGAACGGGUGAGUAACGCGUAGGUAGCCUGCCUGGUAGCGGGGGAUAACUAUUGGAAACGAUAGCUAAUACCGCAUAAUAUUAAUUAUUGCAUGAUAAUUAAUUGAAAGGUGCAAUUGCACCACUACCAGAUGGACCUGCGUUGUAUUAGCUAGUAGGUGAGGUAACGGCUCACCUAGGCGACGAUACAUAGCCGACCUGAGAGGGUGAUCGGCCACACUGGGACUGAGACACGGCCCAGACUCCUACGGGAGGCAGCAGUAGGGAAUCUUCGGCAAUGGACGAAAGUCUGACCGAGCAACGCCGCGUGAGUGAAGAAGGUUUUUGGAUCGUAAAGCUCUGUUGUAAGAGAAGAACGGGUGUGAGAGUGGAAAGUUCACACUGUGACGGUAUCUUACCAGAAAGGGACGGCUAACUACGUG
rnacentral:rRNA from 1 species